GACGUAGGGCGCGAGCGUUGUCCGGAUUUAUUGGGCGUAAAGAGCUCGUAGGCGGCUUGUCGCGUCGUUCGUGAAAACCCGCAGCUCAACUGUGGGCUUGCAGCUGAUACGGGCGGGCUGGGAUUCGGUAGGGGAGACUGGAAUUCCUGGUGUAGCGGUGAAAUGCGCAGAUAUCAGGAGGAACACCGGUGGCGAAGGCGGGUCUCUGGGCCGAUAUCGACGCUGAGGAGCGAAAGCGUGGGGAGCGAACAGG
rnacentral:rRNA from 1 species